AUUGGCUUUUUUUGGAGGCAGUGCUACUUCUCUGCCUGACAAGGGUUUGAAAGUAUUCUAGAAGGCCUGUUUGGACCUGGAUUAUUAAAAGAUCUCAGUUUGUUUAAAGACUGUGAGCCUGAAGG